AUAGAGUAGAAAGAGAGGUGCGCCUACAUAUCACGCAACACGCAUUAGGUAUCACGCAUCACUCACGCGAGAACCGCGUGUUAUUCCGGAAAAUAUACACGCAUGCUGCCAGUCGCCUACGAGUAAGCGUUCAAAUGACGUUCCCAAAGUCUAACCGAUAUCAUAACCCUAACCACGCACGUGCAAAUAUUUCAAACGUUUCGAAGGUCGUUCUUGACUAUUUUUAUUAUUUUUUCUCUUUCUUCCUUGGACGACUGGUGAAACUAAUAGAAUAUAAAAAUAUAGUAAAUAUAUAUUAAAAAGUUUCACACUACAAUGUGUUGGUAUUUUAAAUUUGUCAGAUAUAUUAUGUGAAAAGCGAUAGCAACUAAAUGCUAAUAAAAAUGGCAUUGCAUUUAUAUUGACAUAUGUACAGCAAUGAAAAAAAAAACUGGCAACUAAAAUGGUUAUGGAAUCUUUUCUUGCGUGUUUGGUUUAUUUUUCUUUUUAUCAUUUUAUAUGAUAAAAAUUUUAUUACAUUAUAUCAAAGGCAAGAGAGAAUCAAAAAUAUUCCAAUGUUGAUUCAAUAACAAAUAAAUCUUUCAAUAAAUCUUUAUGAAAUUACUACCAAUAA